UACAGAGGUCUCAAGCGUUGUUCGGAUUCAUUGGGCGUAAAGGGUGCGUAGGUGGCGGGGUAAGUCAGGUGUGAAAUCUCGGAGCUCAACUCCGAAACUGCACUUGAUACUGCCUUGCUCGAGUACUGGAGAGGAGAUUGGAAUUUACGGUGUAGCAGUGAAAUGCGUAGAUAUCGUAAGGAAGACCAGUGGCGAAGGCGAAUCUCUGGACAGUUACUGACACUGAGGCACGAAAGCUAGGGGAGCAAACAGG
rnacentral:rRNA from 1 species